UACGGAGGGUGCAAGCGUUAUCCGGAUUCACUGGGUUUAAAGGGUGCGUAGGUGGGCAGGUAAGUCAGUGGUGAAAUCUCCGGGCUUAACCCGGAAACUGCCGUUGAUACUAUCUGUCUUGAAUAUCGUGGAGGUGGGCGGAAUAUGUCAUGUAGCGGUGAAAUGCUUAGAUAUCAAGAGGAACACUCGUGGCGAAAGCGAGCUACUGGACAACUCCUGACGCUGAGGCUCGAAGGCUAGGGUAGCGAAAGGG
rnacentral:rRNA from 1 species